GACGAACGCUGGCGGCGUGCUUAACACAUGCAAGUCGAACGGAAAGGCCCCUUUGGGGGUACUCGCGUGGCGAACGGGUGAGUAACACGUGAGUAACCUGCCCUUGACUUCGGGAUAACUUCAGGAAACUGGGGCUAAUACCGGAUAGGAAUCCUUGCUUCAUGGCGGGGGUUGGAAAGCUUCGGCGGUUUUGGAUGGACUCGCGGCUUAUCAGCUUGUUGGUGGGGUAGUGGCUUACCAAGGCUUUGACGGGUAGCCGGCCUGAGAGGGCGACCGGCCACCUUGGGACUGAGAUACGGCCCAGACUCCGAAGGGAGGCAGCAGUGGGGAAUAUUGCACAAGGGGCGGAAGCCUGAUGCAGCAAGGCCGCGUGCGGGAUGACGGCCUUCGGGUUGUAAACCGCUUUCAGCAGGGGAGAAGCUUGUGGUGACGGUACCUGCAGAAGAAGCACCGGCUAACUACGUG
rnacentral:rRNA from 1 species